rnacentral:rRNA from 1 species
ACGAGCGGCGAACGGGUGAGUAACACGUGAGCAACCUGCCCCUGACUCCGGGAUAAGCGGUGGAAACGCCGUCUAAUACCGGAUACGACCUCCCACCUCAUGGUGGAGGGUGGAAAGUUUUUCGGUCAGGGAUGGGCUCGCGGCCUAUCAGCUUGUUGGUGGGGUAACGGCCUACCAAGGCGAUUACGGGUAGCCGGCCUGAGAGGGCGACCGGCCACACUGGGACUGAGACACGGCCCAGACUCCUGCGGGAGGCAGCAGUGGGGAAUAUUGCGCAAUGGGCGAAAGCCUGACGCAGCGACGCCGCGUGGGGGAUGACGGCCUUCGGGUUGUAAACCUCUUUUACCACCAACGCAGGCUCCCAGUUCUCUGGGGGUUGACGGUAGGUGGGGAAUAAGGACCGGCUAACUACGUGCCAGCAGCCGCGGUAAUACGUAGGGUCCGAGCGUUGUCCGGAAUUAUUGGGCGUAAAGAGCUCGUAGGCGGCGUGUCGCGUCUGCUGUGAAAGACCGGGGCUUAACUCCGGUUCUGCAGUGGAUACGGGCAUGCUAGAGGUAGGUAGGGGAGACUGGAAUUCCUGGUGUAGCGGUGAAAUGCGCAGAUAUCAGGAGGAACACCGGUGGCGAAGGCGGGUCUCUGGGCCUUACCUGACGCUGAGGAGCGAAAGCAUGGGGAGCGAACAGGAUUAGAUACCCUGGUAGUCCAUGCCGUAAACGUUGGG